GAUGAACGCUGGCGGCGUGCCUAACACAUGCAAGUCGAGCGGCAGCGAGGGGUGCUUGCACCCUGUCGGCGAGCGGCGGACGGCUGAGUAACGCGUGGGAACGUGCCCCAAAGUGAGGAAUAACUGCCCGAAAGGGUAGCUAAUACCGCAUAUUAUCUUCGGAUCAAAGGAUUUAUCCGCUUUGGGAGCGGCUCGCGUCGGAUUAGGUAGUUGGUGAGGUAAUGGCUUACCAAGCCGACGAUCCGUAGCUGGUCUGAGAGGAUGACCAGCCAGACUGGAACUGAGACACGGUCCAGACUCCUACGGGAGGCAGCAGUGAGGAAUCUUCCACAAUGGGCGAAAGCCUGAUGGAGCAACGCCGCGUGCAGGACGAAGGCCUUCGGGUUGUAAACUGCUUUUAUAAGUGAGGAAUAUGACGGUAACUUAUGAAUAAGGAUCGGCUAACUACGUG
rnacentral:rRNA from 1 species